rnacentral:rRNA from 1 species
AUUGAACGCUGGCGGCAUGCCUUACACAUGCAAGUCGAACGGCAGCACGGGAGCAAUCCUGGUGGCGAGUGGCGAACGGGUGAGUAAAGUAUCGGAACGUGCUCAGUCGUGGGGGAUAACGUAGCGAAAGUUACGCUAAUACCGCAUACGCUCUAUGGAUGAAAGCGGGGGAUCACAAGACCUCGCGCGAUUGGAGCGGCCGAUACUAGAUUAGGUAGUUGGUGGGGUAAAGGCUCACCAAGCCGACGAUCUGUAGCUGUUCUGAGAGGAUGACCAGCAACACUGGAACUGAGAAACGGCCCAGACUCCUACGGGAGGCAGCAGUGGGGAAUUGUGGACAAUGGGCGAAAGCCUGAUCCAGCCAUGCCGCGUGCAGGAUGAAGGCCUUCGGGUUGUAAACUGCUUUUGUACGGAACGAAAAGGUUUGGCCUAAUAAGCUGGGCUCAUGACGGUACCGUAAGAAUAAGCACCGGCUAACUACGUGCCAGCAGCCGCCGUAA